GUGUCAGCAGCCGCGGUAAUACAGAGGCCUCGAGCGUUGCGCGGAAUCACUGGGCUUAAAGGGUGCGUAGGUGGAUGUGCAAGUGCCUUGUGAAAUCCCCGGGCUCAACCCGGGAACUGCUUGGUAGACUGCACAUCUUGAGGUCGGUAGGGGUCGCUGGAACAGUUGGUGGAGCGGUGAAAUGCGUAGAUAUCAACUGGAACGCCAAAGGUGAAGACAAGCGACUGGGCCGAUUCUGACACUGAGGCACGAAAGCGUGGGGAGCAAACGGGAUUAGAUACCCCCGUAGUCC
rnacentral:rRNA from 1 species